CUUUACUGAAAUGACUUCUAAUGAUAAAGGGGAGGUGUCCUGAUCGCGAAAUCCUGGGCUUAAAAACAUGAAAUCCCAAGGGCCCGAAUUUAAAGAAAUUAAAAUCCCAACAUUAUGAAAUUAGAAAAAAGAAUUCCCUGAUCCCGAAAGGAUGAACCCCUGAAAUCCCGAGCUUAAAAACACCCGAUCUCAGAGUCCUGAUAAAGGUCGAACCCCC
rnacentral:lncRNA from 1 species